rnacentral:rRNA from 1 species
AGGCCCCUCCUAGCUCCAACAAUACCCCCCCCCACAAUGAACCCCCUCCCCCAAACCAAAACAUUUUAACUCAACCCAGUAUAGGCGAUAGAAAAGAGCCCAAGGACGCUAUAGAGAUACAGUACCGCAAGGGAAAGAUGAAAUAACAGUGAAACCCAAAGCACCAAACAGUAAAGAUAAACCCUUGUACCUUCUGCAUCAUGAUCUAGCAAGAACAACCAAGCAAAACGAAUUUUGAGCUUGCCCCCCCGAAACCCAAGCGAGCUACUCACAGGCAGCCAACCUGGGCGAACCCGUCUCUGUCGCAAAAGAGUGGGACGACCUGUUAGUAGAGGUGAUAAGCCUAUCGAGCUGGGUGAUAGCUGGUUACCUGUGAAAAGAAUCUAAGUUCUGCCCUAACACCCCCCCCCGCCGGACAACAACCCACCAUGAGGGGGUUAAGAGUACUUUAAAGGGGGUACAGCCCCUUUAAAAAAGGACACAACCUCCACUAGAGGAUAACCCACCAUGCGCUAAACAGUGGGCCUUCAAGCAGCCACCAACAAAGAGUGCGUCAAAGCUCUACACCCUAAAAAUCCCCCCAACCGUAUGACUCCCUUACCACUAGCAGGUCAACCUAUCAGCCCAUAGGAGAAUCAAUGCUAGAAUGAGUAAUCUGGGACCGCCCUCUGAGGCGCAAGCUUACAUCAAAAUAUUAUUAACAAGCAGAAUCAGGCCCAAACACCAACAAGAACAGCCUAUCCCCACCCCCUGUUAACCCAACAAAGGAGCGCCCGCCAGAAAGAUUUAAAUCUGCAAAAGGAACUAGGCAAACCUAAGGCCCGACUGUUUACCAAAAACAUAGCCCUCAGCCGCCCAAGUAUUGAAGGUGAUGCCUGCCCAGUGACGCCACGUUCAACGGCCGCGGUAUCCUAACCGUGCGAAGGUAGCGCAAUCAAUUGUCCCAUAAAUCGAGACCUGUAUGAACGGCUAAACGAGGUCUUAACUGUCUCUUGCAGAUAAUCGAUGAAAUUAAUCCCCCUGUGCAAAAGCAGGGAUGCACACAUAAGACGAGAAGACCCUGUGGAACUUCAAAAUCAGCGACCACUACACGCACUUUCCCCCCACUGGGGCCCCCAAACGCCCUGUACACCUGGCCGCUAUUUUUUGGUUGGGGCGACCUUGGAGAAAAACAAAUCCUCCAAAACAAGGACCACACCUCCUAACCAAGAACAACCCCUCAACGUACUAACAGUAACCAGACCCAAUAAAAUUGAACAAUGGACCAAGCUACCCCAGGGAUAACAGCGCAAUCCCCUCCAAGAGCCCCUAUCGACGAGGGGGCUUACGACCUCGAUGUUGGAUCAGGACAUCCUAAUGGCGCAGCCGCUAUUAAGGGUUCGUUUGUUCAACGAUUAACAGUCCUACGUGAUCUGAGUUCAGACCGGAGCAAUCCAGGUCGGUUUCUAUCUAUGACGGACUCUCCCUAGUACGAAAGGACCGGAAGAGUGUGGCCACUGCCCCACAGCACGCCCCCCCCAAAGUAGUGAAUUCAACUCAACUACCCCCCAACACCCCCGCCCUAAAAAAGGGCAG